AGAAGGAGACACAGAAUCCGAAACAGGCUCCAGGCUCUGAGCUGUCAGCACAGAGCUCGACGCGGGGCUCGAACUCACGGACCGCGAGAUCAUGACCUGAGCCGAAGUCAGCCGCUCAACCAACUGAGCCACCCAGGAGCCCCCACAGCAGAUUCACCCUUAGGACAGAUUUUCAUCCGGGCCCCGUGACUUGGAGAAAAAGGGAACAAGGUAACGCCAUGGAACUGAUCGGCAGUAGGGGAUAGCUCGUGGGAUGGUUAGCUAGAGAAGAAAGUGAAACUGAUGAGAAACGACAACGUACUUCGCACCAAGAAUGGUCAAGAUAAUGCAAGAAGAAGAAAGUUUAAAAUGAAGCAGUAGUGAGCAAACACAAACAGAUUUCCUGACAGUUUACCUAAUAGUGAAAUUGAUUAGAUCCGUAAUGGUUGUUACUUGGGGAAUUUAAUAAGAAUGCAGAUUCAUUGCCAUACUCCACAGAGAUGUGGUAAGUCUUGCGUAGGUCCGAAGAAUAAUCUACAUUUUUUAAAAAAAUUUUUUUUAUUUUUAUUUAUUUUUUUUAACGUUUAUUUAUUUUUGAGACAGAGAGAGACAGAGCAUGAACGGGGGAGGGUCAGAGAGAGGGAGACACAGAAUCUGAAACUGGCUCCAGGCUCUGAGCUGGCAGCACAGAGCCUGACACGGGGCUCAAGCUCACGGACCGCGAGAUCAUGACCUGAGCCGAAGUCGGCCACUUAACCGACUGAGCCACCCAGGCGCCCCGAAUAAUCUACAUUUUUAACAAACACCCAAGAGACUUGGAUGCUGGUGAUCAGCCAGCUAAGUGAGACUACCCUUGGAAGACCUUUCCUCUGAACCCCCAGAUAGGGUUGUUGAUUUAGGAUUUGGGAGCAUGUUGGGGUCUCGUUCAAAUAGUGAUUCUUCUCUCUUUCUCACAGACAACACUCAAUAGGAUCAUUAAGGAUAAAUCAGCUUUGCUACUCUGCCACCUAAAGAAGCAUUCUACAUUAUUAUUAAUCAGCAGAACCAGAAAGUUCUGCCUCCACAGAAACUGAUGAAUGCAGGUGUCUUCUACUCUGGCAAGGCCAUAGAAUAUCAAAUUGAAAUUUGUAAAAAUAACCUAAAGUGACCAGAAUCACAUUUCUAUCCUUUAUAUGAAAACCCACUUUGGGAAUGAUUUAUCACUGCUUAUAAGAGUGUAAAAGAACAACCAAAACAGAUUUUCAGAGAAUGGUUUGUAUGAGGAAACAAAAGGAUAUUAAGAAAAAAGUGAAAACAGUUGGGUGCAGCAAAGAUAAUUGUUGAUGUCAGACUGAAAAAGGAAAAACCGUAUAUAUUUGAACUUCAAAAUAUUUUUUUUUAACCAGAGGAUGAACAGAAACUAUCCAGAGUAUCAAAUCCAGAGAGCAGCUUUGAUGUAUUUUGCUGUUUCCUAGGUAUGUGGAUGACCUCUUUGGAUGGUUCUGUGACAAAUCAUUCUUAAAUUACCUUUUAUCACCACCACAACUUGCCAGAUCUUAACUAUCUUGGUACAUAGUUGGGUUGAUUCUCAGAGUAGGUACAGGUCAGUCCAGUUUUUAAUGUGAGAAGCAGAAAGUCACUUUUUUUUGUUUUUUUUUUU